UCUCCCAUUAAAAUGAUUGAAUUUAUCGUAGGCUAUUUACUAUCAUGGAGCCGCUAUUAAAGAUAUUCAAAAGGAUACGGGCUCGUGCAUCGUUAGGAAAGGACGGAUGGUAGAGGCGGGUUACCCACUCGUCGACGAAUUCUAUCAAGACACACGGACCUGUGUCCCCUGUAUUGGCGUAUUUUCUACAUGCGAAUGAAAGGGACUUGGCCCUGGUCCGGUAUCUGGAGUAAAUCCUUCACGUCCGAGAAAAAAUUCUUCAUCCAGUUCGAGGCUCAGGAGAGACAAAGGUUGAAAGCCAUGUGUCCUCCGAAAACACAACCAUGCCACACUGCUUCUUAACACAGCGCACAUCCAACCCAGGAGCCAGCCACACCAAUGUGUCAGAGGAAACACAGUGCACCUGGCGACCAAGUCAGCGUGCACUGUGCCCGGCCCGCCACAGGAGUCACUAGUGCACGAUGAGACAUUGGACCGCCCGGUCGUGGCCGGCUGCAACAGAGCCUGGGCUCGAACCCAGAGUCAUCGCAGUGCCACCAGAGACUCCCGCCACCCGGGAGGCCCUUGAUAUGUAUUUCUAAUCUCUUCUGUUAUUAAAGGUUUGAUCUAUGACAGCGGAAACAAAGUAGUUCCAAUGAUCAACUAUGUGUAGUAUGGUGUGUACGUGUUUUAAUAGUAUAAUCAACUGGCCUGGACAGGAACCUGAUCUGUUUGCUCUCUGUUCCCAUAUCGAGUCAUUAUGUACAGAUCAAAGGCUUUGUGCUGUCUGGGUCUGAGGGCCACCUCUCCAAAGCCAGACUACUGAGGCCUGAAUAAAGUAAUGAAUGUCAUCCUGGUUUGAUAACCACAACUAUGUGUCCAGGGAAAAAUAACGUCUGCCUGCUUAUUGGAUAUCGGAACAGCAUUAUAUAGGCCAGGCCAGGGGCACCUGGUGGAACUAUGGCUGAGAUUACUAUAGAAACUGUAUGUUCGGUGAAAACAUGAAAGAGCUCAAAUCUCUGAGGGAUUGUCAGAUUGAGUCCGUGUGGCAGGGCUAUCUAUCUGUGUUAGACAUGCUGGACAAAACAAUUCGAUUUUUAGGUUACUCAGUUUGGAAACCAGCAGUGGUGGCUGGAGUAAAAAUGUCUUCACAGUUUUAGAAUUUGCUGUAGGCCAGGCCUGUGUUGAUUAUGACACUGUUAUGCUUGGUGAAGGAGUGUAAUGGGAGUUGCACGUAAAACCUGACAGUAUUUGGCUUUAGCCAUCCAGCUGUCCCAAUGUCAUCCUCCUAUCAUGCCUGGCUGCUUAGGUGGCCUAUUUGGCGAGCUGAUUACUAAGUGUUUGAGUAGACCAGAUAAUUACAGUUCUGCUGUUGUCAGAAUUCUACAAAAUGUCAUAUACUG